rnacentral:rRNA from 1 species
ACGUUGGCGGUGUGCUUAUGCAUGCAAGUCGAACGGGGAUAUGACUUUCGGGUUAUAUUCUAGUGGCGAACGGCUGAGUAACGCGUAAGUAACCUACCCUCGAGUGGGGAAUAACUUGUCGAAAGGCAAGCUAAUACCGCAUGAAGUAACCAAAAGGUAUGUUCGGUUACCAAAGUCUUCGGAUGCUCGAAGAGGGGCUUGCGUCUGAUUAGCUAGUUGGUGAGGUAAUGGCUCACCAAGGCGAUGAUCAGUAGCUGGUCUGAGAGGAUGGUCAGCCAGAUAGGGACUGAGACACGGCCCUGACUCCUACGGGAGGCAGCAGCAGGGAAUAUUGGACAAUGGGCGAAAGCCUGAUCCAGCGACACCGCGUGAGGGAAGAAGGCCUUCGGGUUGUAAACCUCUUUUCUCUGGGAAGAAAUUUGACGGUACCAGAGGAAUAAGCCUCGGCUAAUUACGUGCCAGCAGCCGCGGUAAAACGUGGGAGGCGAACGUUAUCCGGAUUUACUGGGCGUAAAGGGAGUGUAGGCGGUUCUUUAAGUCAGGUGUGAAAGUUCUUGACUCAAUCAAGAAAAGUCAUUUGAAACUGAGGGACUUGAGGGCGACAGAAGGAAACGGAAUUCCCGGUGUAGCGGUGAAAUGCGUUGAUACCGGGAAGAACACCAGUGGCGAAGGCGGUUUCCUAGGCUGUUUCUGACGCUGAGACUCGAAAGCGUGGGGAGCGAAGCGGAUUAGAUACCCGCGUAGUCCACGCCCUAAACGGUGGACACUAGAUAUGGGGAGUAUCGACCCUCCUCGUGUCGAAGCUAACGCUUUGAGUGUCCCGCCUGGGGACUACGACCGCAAGGUAAAACUCAAAGGAAU